GAUGAAGAUGAGGACGAUCCGAAGCCAACAAAAUGCAAGAAAGCAAAACCAGACGCCAAAGCCAAAAAACAAGUGACAAAGAAAGAGAAGAAAGAAGAGGCUGAAGAAUACAUUAAUGGCGACCUAGAAGGAAAGUGUAAGGAAGAAAAGUCAGAAGAAAAGAAACCAAUAAGAACUAGAAAAGGAAAUUGUUCAAAGAAAAAAAGUGAAGACAACCAUGAGGACGACAAUGAUGCUGAUAUUCCUGAAAAGCAACCGGCCAAGACAAAAGUGGCCAUAAAUGAUUUAAUUCUGAAUGCAAAAAAAAUUCAUGAAACCAGACGAGGAAGGGGAAGAGGAGGGAGGGGACGGUAAUUGCAUGAUGUCAUUCCGCGAUGCCACACGGGUAUUACUAGUCCUUUUUUUUCACAUUCUGAAAUCUUUGUGCUGUUCUGUGACUAAGUGUGUUUCUUUUUUCUUUAAAGCAUUCUGUGAACAGACAUUAGUGUUCUUCCUGAAAUAAGUUCUAACUAUGGUACUUAAAAACGAUAAGAUGGUAUUCAAAACCUCCACAAACAUCUUGAACUUCUGUAUUUCUUUUAUUUUGUUACAUUGGGUUACAUCCAGUUUGCACUAAUGAUAUGAGGUACCUCAUAUCAUUCUCUAGUUUGCACUAUAGUCUCUUAAGGUUUGUUGAAGCCUCUUGUGUUUAUUUGGAAUUGAGUAUUAUGAGAAUCGGUAUUACGUUUCAGUGUUGUUAAACAGUGAGACAUAAUAAUUUGAUUGCCGAUACAUUUUGACUUUAAAUCAUUUUGUGAACAGACUUAGUGUAUUGAGGUUUGCAUGAAGUGAAGAUGGAGCUUUGUACUAACACUUCACCCUUCUACAAAGAUCUUUUCCUUUUGUAUUAAUUUUUUUUUUGUUCAGGACGUAGCCUCUUACGCUUUGUGUAAGCCUCUUUUGGAUAUUUGAAAUUGAGUAUUAUGAUUAUUAUGUUUUUGUAUUGUUUAAUUUUAUUAUUGUUUUGGAAAUGGUGAUACAUGUCAAGUUUGUCAUUUGUACUCUCAAUUGUUGCAACAUCAUGAUUCAUCAAAAAAUACUGACUACUGUGUCUGCUUCUGAGACAAGUUUUAUAAAUGACUUUCAAUGUAA